UACAGAGGUCUCAAGCGUUGUUCGGAUUCAUUGGCGUAAAGGGUGCGUAGGCGGCGCGGUAAGUCGGGUGUGAAAUCUUGGAGCUUAACUCCGAAACUGCAUUCGAUACUGCCGUGCUUGAGGACUGGAGAGGAGACUGGAAUUUACGGUGUAGCGGUGAAAUGCGUAGAUAUCGUAAGGAAGACCAGUGGCGAAGGCGGGUCUCUGGACAGUUCCUGACGCUGAGGCACGAAGGUCAGGGGAGCAAACGGG
rnacentral:rRNA from 1 species